rnacentral:rRNA from 1 species
GGAAGAGAAAGAAAAAUCGAUUUCCUGAGUAGCGGCGAGCGAAACGGAAAGAGCCCAAACCAAGAAGCUUGCUUCUUGGGGUUGUAGGACACUCUAUACGGAGUUACAAAAGAAAGUUAUAAAUGAAGCGGUCUGGAAAGGCCCGCCAAAGACGGUAACAGCCCGGUAGUUGAAAUGGCUUUCCCUCCAGAGUGGAUCCUGAGUACGGCGGAACACGUGAAAUUCCGUCGGAAUCCGGGAGGACCAUCUCCCAAGGCUAAAUACUCCCUAGUGACCGAUAGUGAACCAGUACCGUGAGGGAAAGGUGAAAAGCACCCCGGAAGGGGAGUGAAACAGUUCCUGAAACCGUGUGCCUACAAGUAGUUAGAGCCCGUUAAUGGGUGAUAGCGUGCCUUUUGUAGAAUGAACCGGCGAGUUACGAUUUGUUGCAAGGUUAAGCGGAAAAAGCGGAGCCGUAGCGAAAGCGAGUCUGAAUAGGGCGCAUAAGUAACAGGUCGUAGACCCGAAACCAGGUGAUCUACCCAUGUCCAGGAUGAAGGUAAGGUAAUACUUACUGGAGGUCCGAACCCACGCACGUUGAAAAGUGCGGGGAUGAGGUGUGGGUAGCGGAGAAAUUCCAAUCGAACUUGGAGAUAGCUGGUUCUCUCCGAAAUAGCUUUAGGGCUAGCCUCGAGGUAAAGAGUCAUGGAGGUAGAGCACUGUUUGGACUAGGGGCCCUUCUCGGGUUACCGAAUUCAGAUAAACUCCGAAUGCCAUGUACUUAUACUCGGGAGUCAGACUGCGAGUGAUAAGAUCCGUAGUCGAAAGGGAAACAGCCCAGACCACCAGUUAAGGUCCCCAAAUAUAUGUUAAGUGGAAAAGGAUGUGGGGUUGCUUAGACAACCAGGAUGUUGGCUUAGAAGCAGCCACCAUUGAAAGAGUGCG